UACGUAGGGGGCUAGCGUUGUCCGGAAUCAUUGGGCGUAAAGCGCGUGUAGGCGGCCCGGUAAGUCCGCUGUGAAAGUCGGGGGCUCAACCCUCGGAUGCCGGUGGAUACUGUCGGGCUCGAGUACGGAAGAGGCGAGUGGAAUUCCUGGUGUAGCGGUGGAAUGCGCAGAUAUCAGGAGGAACACCGAUGGCGAAGGCAGCUCGCUGGGACGGUACUGACGCUGAGGCGCGAAAGCGUGGGGAGCGAACAGG
rnacentral:rRNA from 1 species